CAGAAAGUAGUUUAGUUUAGAAUUCUGGCUUUGGGAGCCAGGGGUGGGAGUUAGAAUCUCCUCUUUCUGA
rnacentral:tRNA from 1 species